rnacentral:rRNA from 1 species
GCGAGUGAAGCGGCAACAGCUCAAAUUUGAAAUCUGGGUCUUUCAGGCUCCGAGUUGUAAUUUGCAGAGGGAGCCUCGGAGGGCGAGUCGGUCCAAGUGCCUUGGAACAGGAUACCGCAGAGGGUGAGAGUCCCGUAUCCGGCCGAUUUCGCGCUCCGUGUGAGGCCUCUUCGACGAGUCGAGUUGUUUGGGAAUGCAGCUCUAAGCGGGUGGUAAAUUCCAUCUAAAGCUAAAUACUGGCCAGAGACCGAUAGCGCACAAGUAGAGUGAUCGAAAGAUGAAAAGCACUUUGAAAAGAGAGUCAAACAGUACGUGAAAUUGUUGAAAGGGAAGCGCAUGGGGGCAGACUUGGUCGCGGGGUUCAGGGUUCGUUCUCGAGCCUGUACUUCCCCGCGGACAGGCCAGCAUCGGUUCUGGAGGGCGGACAAAGGCGGCGGGAACGUGGCUCUCUUCGGAGAGUGUUAUAGCCCGUCGUGCAAUGCGUCCAUCCGGGACCGAGGACCGCGCUUCGGCAAGGAUGCUGGCGUAAUGGCCUCAUGCGGCCCGUCUUGAAACACGGACCAAGGAGUCUAACAUCUAUGCGAGUGUUUGGGUUUGAAGCCCGGACGCGCAAUGAAAGUGAACGGAGGUGGGAGUCCUUUUUGGAUGCACCAUCGACCGAUCCGGACGUUUUCUGAAGGAUUUGAGUAAGAGCAUAGCUGUUGGGACCCGAAAGAUGGUGAACUAUGCGUGAAUAGGGUGAAGCCAGAGGAAACUCUGGUGGAGGCUCGCAGCGGUUCUGACGUGCAAAUCGAUCGUCAAAUUUGCGUAUAGGGGCGAAAGACUAAUCGAACC